CUAUGUUCUCUUCUCUUUGCCUUAUGUCUUCUAUUUCAGUGAUCCUAAGCCAUCUGAAGUCUCCAUUCUUUGUGAGCACAUCUAUUUUUGCUUGGUGUUCUGUUUCCAGAGAAUCUUCCUACUGCUGUUGUCAGUAGUCAAUGCAGAGACUGGUAAAAAGUGCCAAGAGUCCCGUGGCUGUGUUUAGGACACGUUGAUGAUUGCUAUUUGAAGUAAAAGAGCCCCCACCACAGUAGCCUUGGCUGUAUAAGAAAAAUAGUUCAUCAGGAGCAAAAACUUCCCAGAAAUGGAAAGAAAAGAUCAAGAAACCUCUGAAUAGCUCAACUCAGGCCAAGGGAUCAUGUAGUCAACAUUGAAG
rnacentral:lncRNA from 1 species